UGUUAAAAUCCCCAAAAACCCAAUUUCCAUUGGAGUGGGUCUUUAAAAUAAAACCUUUUAGAGGGAAUUGAACAUAGCAGAGUGACUGCAAGGGAGUAUGUCUCAUACCGUCACUAAUUACUUGUAAAUGUUCCCGUUACACAUGGCGACACACAAAAUAUAAGCAGCAGCUAAGCAAUUGCUUAGACUUAUUUGACACGUGUCACAGUAUGUAUGUGCUGGAAUGUAUAUGUCGAUAAGUUAACAAGUACUGUGUCACGCCUGAAACUCACUGCAGCUGUUUCUCGAGCUUAUCUUUGAAUUUCUCCAGCUGUUCUUUGAUGCAACACAAAAUGAUUUAUGUCUUUCCAGCAGGCGCGGGGUUGCAGGAGGCGAGCGGGAGACAAGAGAGCGCGUGUGCAGCUUCUUCAAAAUCUUUAUGCAAAUGAAUUGCUGUCGGAUGAAAGAAGGUUUGAUUGCAAUGUGUGUUCCCUGUGCAUGUCUGCAUCAAAAACAAUACACCGCCGUGGGUGGGCUGACCACCACAGCCAGCGGGGACUGUAAGGGCACCACAGUGCUGAGAGAGCCUUGUGCCCUCCCUACAAACACAGACACAGUGGAGCGUGGGAUGUGGGUGUGGAAGAUGUUGAGCACAUCGUUUAAUAUAACAGUUAUCAGAACAAAAUGUGUCAAACAAAGAAAUUAUGGGCUGAGAAUUGACCUAACUUGAACCUGCCUUUCCUGAUUUAUAUGAGUACUUUUUUCAUUACAGACAUUUUUUAUGUGACAUAGAGGAGUGGUUUUUAUUAUAUUAACCCCAGACAGCAGCUAAACUAAUUGUGUUACACUUGCUGUCUUUUAUUAUAGCCUGUAUCACAUUAAAACCUGUGACUAUGUUUUUAGACAUAUGACCUUGAUUUUUUUAUAGGACAAAUGUUUUUUUUUUAACUUUUUUUAUAAUAGACGUCAUCCAUUAUCAUUCAUGGGCGUUACAAAUGUAGCCUGGUUUGUUCUUUAGCAUUUUCUUAGGUAAUUUGUUAGUUUUUAACCAACACAUUUUCUCAUAAUUUACUUUAUUUCUACAAAACAUGCUGUGUGAGAAUAACUAGUAACUAAUGAUUCAUGUAUUGUCAGAACAAAAUGGGGUACCUUAAUGCAGGAAGAUGUGGACAAAAAGUUUAAGGAGGGAACUGAUACAUGACUUGAGAAAAAGCUAAAUCUGAAUUUACAUAAAGUUGAAUAGAAAAGUGGACAAGCACAAUUUUAUCAGAUUUUGUAUUUUUUUCCAUUUUUUUGUAUUGUCUGAUUGUCUUUCACAUGGAGGCGCACUCCAGUGUUUACAUCCAUGUACCUAUCCUAUAGUCUUGGUGAAUGCAGAGGGUAGUAACUGGAAGGACAUUCAUCCGACACCUGAAGCCAAAUCAUUUGUACAAAUCAUGUUGUGACUUUCUACUUUCUAUAUUUGACUAGUUGGUUGUGAGAAUGUGUUGGAUUUGGCUUUACUUAGGGUGAAUGCCCUUCCCGUUGCCCUUCCUGCUGGGACACCCGUGGUGCAGAGAUAGAGUGAUCAACCUCUGAUAGUAGUUUUUCUGAUCAGGUUUGGUUUACCAAAGGCAUGGUUUACCAUUUCUUACCUUCUGUAUUCAACCAUAAUUGGGGUGGGUACAUGGCAACACUGGAGUGCACCCACAUGUUUUGCAGUAACUUACAGCACCUUAUAGUCCAAGGUCAUUUCCCAUCCAAGGACCAGCUUGGCCCAUCUCUGCUCAGCAGCCAAAAUCAUAUGAAAUUGUGUGUGUCUAGGGUGUCAUCAAUGUAUUUACUCUAACCCAAAGACUAACAAGAAAAUCCAGACUCAUACAUGCUGAUGAAACACAAUAUAGUGUUGAUUAAAGUGUUUUUAAAGUC